GACGAACGCUGGCGGCGUGCUUAACACAUGCAAGUCGAACGGAAAGGCCCUGCUUUUGUGGGGUGCUCGAGUGGCGAACGGGUGAGUAACACGUGAGUAACCUGCCCUUGACUUUGGGAUAACUUCAGGAAACUGGGGCUAAUACCGGAUAGGAGCUCCUGCUGCAUGGUGGGGGUUGGAAAGUUUCGGCGGUUGGGGAUGGACUCGCGGCUUAUCAGCUUGUUGGUGGGGUAGUGGCUUACCAAGGCUUUGACGGGUAGCCGGCCUGAGAGGGUGACCGGCGCAGGUGGGGCGGGGGCGCGGCCCCGCCGCGGUGGGGCGGCGGCAGGGGGGAUAAGUGAACAGCGGGGGGACGCCGGAGGCAGCAGGGCUGGGGGGGGGCCGCCGGCCGGGGGGUGGGAAGCCGCUGUCGGGGGUGACGAGGAGGGGGGGACGGUGAGGGGAAAGGAAGCACCGGCUAACUACGUGCCAGCAGCUGCGGUAAUACUCGGCAGGGAACACGUCUGACC
rnacentral:rRNA from 1 species